GACAGAGGUGCCGAGCGUUAGGCGGAAUCACUGGGCUUAAAGCGUGUGUAGGCGGAUUUUUAAGUACCUUGUGAAAUCCCAUGGCUUAACCAUGGAACUGCUGGGUAUACUGGAUAUCUUGAGCCAACUAGGGGCUACCGGAACAAAUGGUGGAGCGGUGAAAUGCGUAGAUAUCAUUUGGAACGCCAAUGGUGAAAACAGGUAGCUGGGGUUGUGCUGACGCUGAGACACGAAAGCCAGGGGAGCGAACGGG
rnacentral:rRNA from 1 species